GGGCGCGAUGUUCCAGCUGACGACAGGUGCGGGUAUCUGUGAAAACGAUACAGAGAUCGUCAACGUUCGUUGCAAUUUGUUACAAAAAUAUUUUUAUAACCGGACGUUUGAAUUUAUUAGUGUUUCGAGAUGAAAAGCGUAGAUAUGUUUUAAGUAAACAGAGACUGUGGCGUGAUUUCAUUGUGGAACCAGCUGAGAGUAAUUAAGGGUCCUUUUCAAAAAAGAAUUACAGGAGCUGUGUGCCAACGUUUCGAGUGGAUCUGAUCGACGUCCCGCUGGUGAUUAGACGCGGCUGCGAUAUUGAGUUUCGCAGUUGGACUGGUGUAACUUUGGAGAGUCCUGUAGUGUUGAGAAUGUCGUGCGGGAGAGUUUGUCGGCGAUGAGGAACAACUCGGUGGUCCUAUGGCUGAUUCAGGUCUCGUAUCGAGUCGAACGCUUUCUUCCGAGACGUUCACGUCCUUCAGGUCUUUCGGGGAUUCUUGAAAGAAAUCGAUUUUUAUUUACCUUCAACGCGUUGCUUCGUAGAAUACAGGAAAAACCAAGAUACUUUCGGUAGAAUUUCUUAUUUCAGAUAUUUCACUACUUCAUAUAAAAGACUAAAAAUGUGGCACGAUUUAUACUGACAUAAUCUUUAAGUGGAAUUUUUAAAUAGUCUUACACAUGAACGUUUUAUAGAAGAAAUAACAUAGAAAUGUAUGCGACGGAGCUAUAUGAAAACAGCAAAUAAGUGUUCAUUAAAAAACACAGUGACGAAGAUGUUUUGCAGUGAGGCUUUUGUACGAUGUUGUGUACCUUCAAAAUUGAAGAAAGGUAAUAAAGUAAAUUACUCGAUUCAAGUUUCAAUGGCCACGUGCGUUGCGAAGGGGGAAAAUUUUAUCUGCGUUCCUCGAAAGCAAGAAGCAAAGGAUUUCGCGUUAUAAAACUCACCGGAAGUGGCCACUAUCGCAACGGUCGGCGAACUCUGAAGUUUUUGUCGUCGAUUCAGAAGUAGAAUAAUGACGAACACCAGCAGAAGAAGUAGGAUAAUGGCAGUCAGAACACCUAUUAGUACCUCUAAAUAUUCCUGACCCUCUCCCGCUGCUGUAACUAUGCCAAAUGUUUCGCUUUAAUGGAGAACGGUCGCCAACCAUACUCUCUGUAUCUUUAUUUCUCUUCGCAUAAGGAAUGAAUCGAAUCAUUCUUCCAUAUUGAUCGAUUUAAAAAUCACGAUGCCUUCGAUUCGAUAAUGUUUAUAUAAAAAUGUAUAAAUAUGUUUAUAUAAAAAAGUAAAAUAGAACAGAAGAAAAGGAAUAUUUAACAUCGUUUAAAAAUCCAGUUAAUGCAUAAUCUUUGUUUGUUCUUCGUUUUAAUAAAUUUAAGAUCGACUAACAAACAAAUAUACACGACUGUUUGCAACUGAGAGCAUUCGAAUAGCCCAUCGACACAAAGGAGGUUAAUCGAAUAACGAAGAAUGCAAUUCGAGUUAGUGGAGUGAAAGCGAUCCUUUUCGCGACACGGACGAAUCUUUUUCCACUGGAAACGGUUUUAUUGCUCUUAAAGGGCGCAGCCGACCCGGAAUGCCCUUCUUUACCCUUUCUGUCGCUUAAAAAACCGUAACAUUUUAUCGCGAACCGGAGGAAAAGGCUAAUCGCCGUUUCACUGAGAGCGAAACUUUAUAUAGUUGGAAGAAAGCUAGAGGAGGAGGACGAAAAACACGAGGUAGGAAAAGGAAGGAGAACAAGAAUAAUAAGAGGAAGGAGAGGAAUGAGAAGAGAAAUAAGGUGAAGUUGGAGAAAGACGAAGCGCGGGUUGCUCGAUAAAGUGACUUUACAAUGCGCCGUUACAUUCUUCUAAUUUUUCAUGUCGGCCAAGCCAGCUGUUUUAUCGGCUGUGUGGCUCGUGUACAACGAAAACGGAGGCGGCGUCACGACGCCGGUUUUACGAGAGAAAUAAAUAAGCCAGCCGAGAGUGGCCUCGCGUGGCGAUCAAGAUCUCAGCUCGGCCCAGAGACUCGGAGACCGAUUUUCUUCGAUCAGCCGGCUCCUCGAUACAGUUUCUCGGAGAAAAGUAAAAUGAUGGCCAAGUUACCUCUAUACCUAGCUUCGGUAUUCCUGCAAUUUCGACUUUAAUUCGGGAUCACAGGUCCCCGUGGACCCGUACACCAGACGACUCGAACCGGAAAAUCUACUCUUUAAAUGACGGCUCUUUCUAUCGAUUCGAAAAAACAAGUAAAAAAAAAAAGAGGAAAAUGGAGGGGGACACGCCAGAGGGCUUUUAAUUUCUUUUGUUCCCCAUCUCUAUCUUGUUCCAUCGCUUUGUUCCCUUUCUUUUCAGUCUUAUUCCUUGUGGUCUACUUUUCAUUCUUACGUAUUCUUAGACUUUCUUGCCAUUUUUCUUUUCCCUCCUCCUUUUUCUUUCCGAUAAUCUUGCUUCUUUUUCCCCUUCGAGCGGCACUCGACGAUAAUAUCAACAGGCAUAAACAGCACGCCGUUUCGUAUUGUUUCGAUACUACUCGCUUCCAUUGGCUUUCCCCCGUUUCCUUUUUCCCUAUUUCUACCACCCUGCUAUUUUUCCGCCUCUUUUCUUCCUUUUUUAGUUCCACUGCUUUUUCUUAUUUUUGCGUUUACGUGGUCGGUCCCUCGUUUUCAUACUACGCUGUUUUCCUACUUCGCCAUGUUCAACGAUGUCGCAACCGUGCGUCCGAUUUUUGUUUUAUUUGCAACGAUAUCAAGGGCUCGAAGAGUUGGAUGAAACGCAACGAGAAAAUUAGAGGAUUUGUGGGGUGCGCGGUAAUGCCUGCGGAACACGUGAUUACACUUGGGCAGAUUCUCUUCUAAUUAAACCGUUUCCGUCACUGUUUGUCUAAUCUCUGUCCAACCAGCGGACCACUUUCUUUUCUAAUUUUCCACUUUCGUCCGAUUAACUGCUUAUUUCACAUCGACGCGACGCUACGAACUUCUCCGUCAAUGUACUUCUGGCUCUCCUCUGUUAAUCCCGCGCUUUAUCCAGUCAUUAAGCGUUACUGCUCUUUUUCUGCCUUCGUUGUCUUUUUGUUGGAAAGGCAAACUUGCCCAGGGAAGAAGUGUUAUCCACUACUGGAUUAUUUGAAAGAGUGUGCGAAAAUGUUUGUCCAGGAGAGCGGGUAACGAGGUUAAAUUUUGCGGUCGUUUGUGCGGUCGGUUAAAAGGUAUUUUAAUAUCCAGAAUACACGUUACACGUGUUUUGAGAAUACUUCUUUAAAUAAAUAUAAUCACCAGUGUAGGUAAAUUUAAUUUAAUAACAUAUGAAUAACUUAAUGAAGCUCGUCAUCGCAACAAUUUGCGUUUUAACAUUGGUAGGUACCACUGACGGCUAAAAUAUAAAACUUGUAUCAGAGAGUCAAAAUGAAAAUGUAUAAUUUAACGGUGGAUACAAUCCCUUGUCAAUAUAUUUUACAAAGACAAAAAAAAAAACCAUUCAAAUCCUCGAUAUCCCCGAAAUCUACGAAAAAAUUAUUCAGAAUUCAAUCGACGAAUGAAAAAUUACAAAUUUAGCCAUUUCGAUCACUUUGGUAAUUAAAUAUACAUAACCCACUUUUUUUUUAUUUGAAAUCCAAUCUUUCCAAUGUUCUAUAGCAAUUUCAUUGAAUUAUUUUUCCCGAAGAUGCCUCGUGCAUUUUUCAUGAAUUCCAUUGUAACUCGCGGAUAAUCUCCACAUGAAUUGGAUACGUACACUUUAUUUUGUUAUGCCAGUAACGCAGGUUUUCGGACUCGGAACGACACGUAUUUGGACGUAAAGCUGUCUAUCUUCUUUUCAUGUUUUUGCACGUUAUCUUUCUGUCUCUUUGCGCGGGGGAAUGUUAAAAAACCGAGAUUUCACGUAUACACGUGCCCGUCUCGUUAUGGCUGGCUCUAACGAUGCGCUUCUUUAUUUUUUCGACUGGAUAAUCGCAGCCACGCGCGACUGGCAAACUGCUCGUUUAUUCGUGAUGGUCCAGAGGAAAUAUUUUGAGUUUUCGGUACACAGGGAAACGAAGAGGAGUUUGCUGUUUCGUCCAUCAGGGACCUGUAAUUAAGUCUGUGUCUUGGUCGUUUCCUGUUUGCCUCCGACGUUUGGUUUCUUUGGUUGUCUUCUUUCUUUAACGCAUUCGUAGCUGGUCAUUGCACUGAAAUCUCAAACAGUUCUUAAAUAACUCUAUCAAAAUCUCGAAUAAUUCCGAGAUAAUUUUAUCAACGUCUCAAACGAUCUUAAACAAUCUUAUUAAAAUGCAAAAUAAUUUUUGAAUAAUCCUAUCGAUAUCUCACAUUAUACAGAACCACAAGGUUCUACAAUUAAAAGACGAUCGAGAAUUUAAAAAAUUUGAUUUACAGUGAUAUACGUUGUAUCACUUACUGUUAUUAAUUGAAAUAGAUACAAUAAAUCAUCGUUUUCUCAGAGUUACUGAUAUAAUCGAUCUGUAUGGAUUUUGAGCUAUGAAAAAAAUGUAAUAAUACGUCAAUGGUCGUUAAAAAUAGUGGUUAUUUUCUCAUUUAUACUUUUGUAUAAUACAUGGAACGCGAUGUUAGAGAAUUUUAUAAUUUACGUCAUUAAAAACUAAUUUCUUCAUGUUUUUAUAUCUAACACAGUAUUCUUCGAAUAACAUUCGCGGAGACAAAUAUUUUUAUUCAAAAUAAAAUGGCGAAAAAGAGGAAAAGAAUGAUAUAGGGGGUAAUAGGGAGUCGAAGAACGGAACGAUACCGAUAUGGGAAAUUUCAUUCUGAUAAUUGGAAAUUUGAUUCUUUGGUUCGUCAAAAAGUAUACGCAGCGAAGAGCUUUUAUAGGAUAAAAAAGUAGUUCAUCGCGUUAUGGUUCUGUAAAACCCAGCUUUUUCCCCUGCUUGAAUUAAAGCGGAUGCAUUCAGACAUGGUUAAAGUUUUCAGAACAACUGACGCGGUAAGGAUGAACCAGUUUUAGGGGAACAACGUGGUUUAUUCUUCGACUGGGAAUCCCGACAUUCGCAUUGGAUAAUAAAAAAAUUGAAGGGCUUAUAGGAAGAACGAUUCUUUUCAACGUUUCUGUCUUUCUAGAAAAACAAUGGCAUAUUCAAUUUCUGUUCCAUAGAUUUUUUGAAACAGAACUUUUUUAAACAGAGUAUUCACAAGCGUCACAUAAUAUCAGAAUACAUCUGUAAUUAUAUUACAGAAAAGUUAUGUUAAAUUAACUAACCAAGUUGUGGAACUCGUGACAAAGCUUUUCACGAAUCCAAUUAAUUUUCAUUAAACGAUAACUUAAGAUUUAAUUUUUUAAAAAAGAUAUUCCCCACAUUACGUGAUUUCUAUGACCGUAUCUGUAAUUAUAUCAGAGAAGAAUUAUAUCCAGUUAAAUCAUAAAAUUGUGGACUUCGCGACAAAAGUCUUUAUAGAACCGUUUCAUUUUUAUCCAACGAUAACUAAAGAUAGAUUACUUGUUAUAAUAUCGACGUUGUGCGAGCGUGGCUCCUGGUUACCGGAAUGCGUUAUUAUUUAAAAGAUCGGAAAAUUUGACAAGGGUAGUUUUAUUACGAAAAAGUCUGCUGUCUAGUUACGAGCCCUUCAAUUACUAUACAAAUAUUUUUUAUUCUUUUAAAACAAAAAGAAAUUAAACAUUAAAGAAAUUAAAUAUUCUUUCUUGUUCGUAUCGCAGCCUUUUACAGGAACAUGGAAAAGGCUCGCGGUGUGCUUUUUACCUCGAUGAAAUCGAUUCAUUAGAACAAUAAGACCGGAUCGACGCGAGCCCCAUCUCCCUUUCUCGUUCUUGCUCCCUUUCUCGAACGAGUACUCUCUUAAUCCGACUAAUUGUUUACGUUACGACGAAGUUGCUACGUGAAUUAUAAACUAUCCAAGUUUCUCCGUCUCUCCGACGGUUACUCGCGAAUCCUCUCUAAUCGUAUCCUCCGCUCGGCAAAGAAUGGCGGCCUGGUUUCGCUAAUGAAGUUACUUCGUCGGACAAACCUUAUGUACUCACAAAGUGAAAGAGGACGAAACUCGAUCGAGGGCUUAUUCUGCUGUAUAAUCGGACGAACAAAUUGGGAAAUUGAUUUUCUGACGGACCGAUGCCGAACGGAUGAUUGCGCCGGAGUAAGAAGUGGGACGACCUCUCCUCGCGUAAUUCGAUUAUUAAUCUGCUAAUUUAACUCGGGAAUAAUAAAAAAAUACAGAUGACGAUUGGUUUAAUGGACUUUUGUGAAUCGAGUUUGAUUGUUCUUUUUGCCGGAGAAUUAUUAUAAUCUUCUAAAAUACAUAUAAUAUCGUGGAAAAUUUUGAAUCUUAUUUGAAAUACCAUAGCAUAAAUGAACAACGUUAAUUCAUUUUCACAUAGGUAAUACGUUCAAACUUCUCCAAAGAAUAUACUUAAUGUAUAAGUAGCAUUGUAAAUCUAUUAACACGAAUACGUUUACUAUCCUAAGACUAGUAACACGGACGGUCGAAGAUCCUUGCACGAAUGUUACUUUAAAGAUGUUAAGGAUCUUUCAAGAUUUUGAGCAAUUAACCGUGUACCUCUUACGAAUAUUAAUACCGUGCAUCAAAUUAUGGCGUAAGAAGAUAUAAGUGUUCUACACUACUAGUACAUGUAUCUUAUCCCCAAGUGCAACCAAGCGAGCAAAUUUUAAUCAGAGUGUAAGAGUCGCCCGAUUAAAGGGUAAAGAACAAAGGGUAAUAAUUAAGCGUGAUGAAGUUACACAACUGUGUUACACGUGCGUAUAGACGUUCUUCGUAUUUGACUUGGUUCUUUGGUACUUUCACAGUGGAGAAAAUUACUUUUUUCUUCACCUUGACCGAAAUUACAUUCCCGAUCAUGCAACGAUCUCGUUUAAUUCGAUCGUACAAGGUGAGUUAUAAAUGUAUGUUCGUAUUACAGAGCCUGAAUCUAUGCACUACGAUAAAAUAAAAAACGUCUUAUGAAACGUACAUAUGUCCCACAUACAAAUCCGUUUCGUAUUUCAUUCUAGCAGAUCGUGUGCAGAUUGGCUUGAAAAGUAACGAUCUAAUGGAACAUUUUCUCUGAUCGUCCUUCGCUAGAAAACCGAGGUGUGUAUAUUCAUAAAGCGUUUCUUUACUUGUUUUAGACUAAAGAUUCAGCCCCUCAGUUAUGGACAUGUAUUUAUGAUACACCCUGUACAUAUCCAACUUAGAAAGCUGAUAUAUCCGAGCCUAGCGUAGCAGAUAAGAUAGAUACGGAAAAGUUUCGAAUGCUCCGGGUGUAAUUAACUCGAGAUUGAUACGAAUUAAAUGCCGCCACC